UACGAAGGGGGCUAGCGUUGCUCGGAAUCACUGGGCGUAAAGGGCGCGUAGGCGGCCAUUCAAGUCGGAGGUGAAAGCCCAGGGCUCAACCCUGGAAUUGCCUUCGAUACUGUCUGGCUAGAGACCGGAAGAGGUGAGUGGAACUGCGAGUGUAGAGGUGAAAUUCGUAGAUAUUCGCAAGAACACCAGUGGCGAAGGCGGCUUACUGGUCCGGUUCUGACGCUGAGGCGCGAAAGCGUGGGGAGCAAACAGG
rnacentral:rRNA from 1 species